AUUGAACGCUAGCGGGAUGCCUUACACAUGCAAGUCGAACGGCAGCACGGACUUCGGUCUGGUGGCGAGUGGCGAACGGGUGGGUAAUGUAUCGGAACGUGCCCAGUAGCGGGGGAUAACUACUCGAAAGAGUAGCUAAUACCGCAUACGCCCUACGGGGGAAAGGGGGGGAUCGCAAGACCUCUCACUAUUGGAGCGGCCGAUAUCGGAUUAGCUAGUUGGUGGGGUAAAGGCCCACCAAGGCGACGAUCCGUAGCUGUUUUGAGAGGACGACCAGCCACACUGGGACUGAGACAAGGCCCAGACUCCUACGGGAGGCAGCAGUGGGGAAUUUUGGACAAUGGGGGCAACCCUGAUCCAGCCAUCCCGCGUGUGCGGUGAAGGCCUUCGGGUUGUAAAGCACUUUUGGCAGGAAAGAAAGCGCAUGGGUUAAUACCCUGUGUGGAUGACGGUACCUGCAGAAUAAGCACCGGCUAACUACGUGCCAGCCGCCGCCGUAA
rnacentral:rRNA from 1 species